GGGCCUGUAGCUCAGCAAGGCAGAGCAUCGGGCUUUUAACCCGGUGGUCAGGGGUUCAACUCCCCUCAGGCCCG
rnacentral:tRNA from 2 species